GAUGAACGCUAGCUACAGGCUUAACACAUGCAAGUCGAGGGGCAGCAUGGUCUUAGCUUGCUAAGGCCGAUGGCGACCGGCGCACGGGUGAGUAACACGUAUCCAACCUGCCGUCUACUCUUGGACAGCCUUCUGAAAGGAAGAUUAAUACAAGAUGGCAUCAUGAGUUCACAUGUUCACAUGAUUAAAGGUAUUCCGGUAGACGAUGGGGAUGCGUUCCAUUAGGUAGUAGGCGGGGUAACGGCCCACCUAGCCGACGAUGGAUAGGGGUUCUGAGAGGAAGGUCCCCCACAUUGGAACUGAGACACGGUCCAAACUCCUACGGGAGGCAGCAGUGAGGAAUAUUGGUCAAUGGGCGAGAGCCUGAACCAGCCAAGUAGCGUGAAGGAUGAAGGUCCUACGGAUUGUAAACUUCUUUUAUACGGGAAUAAAGUAUCCUACGUGUAGGAUUUUGUAUGUACCGUAUGAAUAAGCAUCGGCUAACUCCGU
rnacentral:rRNA from 1 species